rnacentral:tRNA from 1 species
AGGGGAGUAGCUCAAUUGGUAGAGCGCCGGUCUCCAAAACCGGGUGUUGCGGGUUCAAGUCCUGUCUCCCCUGCCA